AACGAACGCUGGCGGCAUGCCUAACACAUGCAAGUCGAACGAGACCUUCGGGUCUAGUGGCGCACGGGUGCGUAACGCGUGGGAACCUGCCCUUAGGUUCGGAAUAACUCCCCGAAAGGGGUGCUAAUACCGGAUAAUGUCUUCGGACCAAAGAUUUAUCGCCUUUGGAUGGGCCCGCGUUGGAUUAGCUAGUUGGUAGGGUAAAAGCCUACCAAGGCGACGAUCCAUAGCUGGUCUGAGAGGAUGAUCAGCCACACUGGGACUGAGACACGGCCCAGACUCCUACGGGAGGCAGCAGUGGGGAAUAUUGGACAAUGGGCGAAAGCCUGAUCCAGCAAUGCCGCGUGAGUGAUGAAGGCCUUAGCGUUGUAAAGCUCUUUUACCCGGGAUGAUAAUGACAGUACCGGGAGAAUAAGCUCCGGCUAACUCCGUG
rnacentral:rRNA from 1 species